rnacentral:sRNA from 1 species
GAAUACGCCCUGCAAUGUGACAGAGUCCUUGCCGAUAUCGAG